GAUGAACGCUGGCGGCGUGCCUAAUACAUGCAAGUCGAGCGAACAGACGAGGAGCUUGCUCCUCUGACGUUAGCGGCGGACGGGUGAGUAACACGUGGAUAACCUACCUAUAAGACUGGGAUAACUUCGGGAAACCGGAGCUAAUACCGGAUAAUAUAUUGAACCGCAUGGUUCAAUAGUGAAAGACGGUUUUGCUGUCACUUAUAGAUGGAUCCGCGCCGCAUUAGCUAGUUGGUAAGGUAACGGCUUACCGAGACGACGAUGCGUAGCCGACCUGAGAGGGUGAUCGGCCACACUGGAACUGAGACACGGUCCAGACUCCUACGGGAGGCAGCAGUAGGGAAUCUUCCGCAAUGGGCGAAAGCCUGACGGAGCAACGCCGCGUGAGUGAUGAAGGUCUUCGGAUCGUAAAACUCUGUUAUUAGGGAAGAACAAAUGUGUAAGUAACUAUGCACGUCUUGACGGUACCUAAUCAGAAAGCCACGGCUAACUACGUG
rnacentral:rRNA from 1 species